rnacentral:rRNA from 1 species
UACGUACGAGGCAAGCGUUAUCCGGAAUUACUGGGCGUAAAGCGUGCGCAGGCGGUUAUGUAAGACAGGUGUGAAAUCCCCGGGCUUAACCUGGGAACUGCAUUUGUGACUGCAUAGCUAGAGUACGGUAGACGGGGGAUGGAAUUCCGGCGUGUAGCAGUGAAAUGCGUAGAUAUGCGGAGGAACACCGAUGGCGAAGGCAAUCCCCUGGACCUGUACUGACGCUCAUGCACGAAAGCGUGGGGACAAACAGG